ensembl:snRNA U6 U6 spliceosomal RNA
GUGCUCACUUUGGCAGCACAUAUACAAAAAUUGGAAUGAGGCAGAGAAGAUCAUCAUGGCCCCUGCACAAGGAUGACCUGAAAAUUCAUAAGUGUUCCAUAUAUUU